rnacentral:rRNA from 1 species
AUUGAACGCUGGCGGCAGGCUUAACACAUGCAAGUCGAGCGCGCGGCGGGCGGGUGUGAAUUGUCUCGGAAACUGUCUGUUGGGGGGGGAGAACUACGGGAAACGGUAUCUAAUACCGCAUAACACCACAUGUGCCCAGACGGGAUUAGCUAGUAGGUGGGGUAACGGCUCACCUAGGCGACGCUCUCUACCUGGGCUGAGAGGAUGACCAGCCACACUGGAACGUAGACACGGUCCAGACUCCUACGGGAGGCAGCAGAGGGGAAUAUUGCACAAUGGGCGCAAGCCUGAUGCAGCCAUGCCGCGUGUGUGAAGAAGGCCUUCGGGUUGUAAAGUACUUUCAGCGAGGAGGCGUUACCCGCAGAAGAAGCACCGGCUAACUCCGUGCCAGCAGCCGCGGUAAUAC